rnacentral:rRNA from 1 species
GACGAACGCUGGCGGCGUGCUUAACACAUGCAAGUCGAGCGGCAAGGCCCUUCGAGCUUCUCGUUCGGCGAACCGGUUAGUAACCCGUGAGUAAUCUCCUCUUGGCUUUGUGUUAACUACCGGAAACGGUGGCUAAUCCCACAUUCGUCCCCCAUCUGCAUUGCCUGUUUGUGCAAAGUUUUUUCGGCCCUGGCUGUGCUCGCUGCCUCUCUGCUUGUUGGUCGGGUAAUGGCCUACUAAGGCUUCGACGGGUAGCCGGCCUGAGAGGCUUACCGGCCAAACUGGGACUGAGACACGGACCAGAGGCCGACGGGAGGCAGAAGUGGGGAAUAGUGGACAAUGGGCGGAAGCCUGAUGCAGCAACGCAGAGGGAGGGAGGACGGCCAUCGGGUUGUAAACGGCUUGCAGUACCGACGAAGAGCCGAUGAUGGUGGUGACGGUAGGUACAGAAGAAGCACCGGCUAACUACGUG